CCUACGGGAGACAGCAGUGAGGAAUAUUGGUCAAUGGGCGGGAGCCUGAACCAGCCAAGCCGCGUGAGGGAAGAAGGUACAGCGUAUCGUAAACCUCUUUUGUCAGGGAACAAAGGCGGGGACUAGUCCCCUGAUGAGGGUACCUGAAGAAAAAGCAUCGGCUAACUCCGUGCCAGCAGCCGCGGUAAUACGGGGGAUGCGAGCGUUAUCCGGAUUUAUUGGGUUUAAAGGGUGCGCAGGCGGCCUGUUAAGUCAGCGGUAAAAGCCCGGGGCUAAACCCCGGCGAGCCGUUGAAACUGGCGGGCUGGAGUUGGAGAGAAGUACGCGGAAUGCGCGGUGUAGCGGUGAAAUGCUUAGAUAUCGCGCAGAACCCCGAUUGCGAAGGCAGCGUACCGGCUCCACACUGACGCUGAGGCACGAAAGCGUGGGUAUCGAACAGGAUUAGAUACCCGGGUAGUC
rnacentral:rRNA from 1 species